CGCGGGCCUUUGGGGCCCAGGGCUGCCCUGUAAGUCGGGGCCAGUGCCCUGGAGUCCCGGGCACUUUGCGCUCCAGGCAGCGGCCGGAGCCCCCUGUAAGCAGGGGUGCAGCCUCUUUGGCCACUGCUUUGCAUGCCCAGCUGCCUUUGCCCAGAGGGCCCGGCUCCCAGCAGCGGAUGGGACUGCGUCGCUCUGAAGCCGUCGGAGAAGAAAGAAGACACAGGAGUGGAACUUCGAGGCAAGAGCGAAGAAGAGGAGCAGCAGCGUCGAGCUCAAGAGGGGGCACGACAGGGACCCUCUGGGCAAAAUGCACCUCCCUGGCCCCCCCCGGGCAGGGAUCCGUAAGAGUCCAGCGGGCACCUUCAGGCUGCCCCGGCUGGCUUUGCGCUGGGCGACCUCCCUGUAAGCAGGGCUGGGUCUUUGAUUUGCUUUGCUGGCCUUUGGCCAUGGCGCUCCUUUGGCUGCCCGGAGAGAGGGGGCAACCCUGUAAGGAGGGUGAGAGCCCCCAUCUCCGCACCCGAGGGGGGAAACGGAGCUCUCCCGACCCCCAGCCCACCCUGUAAGCAGGGUAGGGCUUUUCCUGACCCCCAGCCCGCCCUGUAAGCAGGGCAGGGCUUUUCCUGACCCCCCAGCCCGCCCUGUAAGCAGGGCAGGGCUUUUCCUCACCCCCAGCCCGCCCUGUAAGCAGGGCAGGGCUUUUCCUGACCCCCAGCCCGCCCUGUAAGCAGGGCAGGGCUUUUCCCUGACCCCCAGCCCGCCCUGUAAGCAGGGCAGGGCUUUUCCUGACCCCCCAGCCCGCCCUGUAAGCAGGGCAGGGCUUUUCCUGACCCCCAGCCCGCCCUGUAAACAGGGCAG